GUGCUUUCUUCAGCAGCAUAUAUACUAAAAUCGGAAUGAUACAGAGAAGAUUAGCAUGGCCCCUGUGCAAGGAUGACACACAAAUUCGUGAAACGUUCCAUAUUUUA
ensembl:snRNA U6 U6 spliceosomal RNA